ensembl:lncRNA
CGUAGUCCAGGUGCAGAGUAGAAAACCCACGAUGAUCACAGGAAACAGCCCACGAAAUCCCCGCAGCGGCGUUGAUCUCCGGUCAGCAAACUCACAGUUAGCCGUUAGCAGAAUCCACGUCGUGGCGUUCACAGCUCUGUGUCUGAAAAGUCAGCAGCCAGCCGACGAAUAAUCCAAUGUCUCAGGAAAUGAAACGGUCAGAGGAGCGACAGAUUCUAUGGACAUUUGGACUAUAUAGAUGUCAGCAUUUCAUUUAAAGCAGCAUCUGCAGUGAUUCACAAGCGGUGGAGAAGGAAGCAGCAGCUGAAGUGCGUUAGGGUUUCCUGCAGGAGAGAGGAGGGAUGGUGGCAUUGUCAUCACAGCAGGCAUUGUUGUUUGGCAGGUCCACCACCAAUGCAGUGACAGCUGUGGAUUACCUGAAACAGAACAGAGACCAAAGAACUACAGACUCUUCACAACCUGCUCAAACUCUUGGUACAGGACCUCACCACACGGGUCAAGAAGGUCGCUGGUCGAAGCAGUUCGUAGAGUCGGGAUGCUUGGAGGAAAAUGAGCUUCGCCGGCUUUCACAUGGAGAUGUUGCUGUAGAUGCUGCUGUAGAGCUGAUCGAUCUUCGCCUUGAAGAAUUCCUGUUUUUGCGCCAAAAUUCAUGAUGAUUUUUUUUCCAAAGAAAACCUUUCUGGAGUGUUUUUCACAGCCUCCUUUACAUUAUUUCAUCAUAUGGCACGUUUUUACAACAUGUUGAAAAAUCGUAUUUUUUUCCGACAUAGUAUAUUAUGUCGACAAAAAAAUGUGUUCUAAUGCUACAUUGUGUUAGCUAAUUCUGUUGAGAGGCUAAUUGAUGAUUAGAAAACCAUUGUGCAAUUAUGUUAGCACAUGCAUAAAAGUAUGAGUUUUCAGUUAGCUAACACAAUGUAGCAUUAGAACACAGGAGUGAUGGUUGCUGGAAAUGUUCCUCUGUACCUCUAUGGAGAUAUUCCAUUAAAAAUCAGCUGUUUUCAGCUAGAAUAGUCAUUUACCACAUUAACAAUGUCUAGACUGUAUUUAUCAUUCAUUUCAUGUUAUCUUAACUGAAAAAAAUGCUUUUCUUUCAAAAAAAUCAGGACAAUUCUAAGUGACCCCAAACUUUUGAACAGUAGUCUAUAUGUAAUGGGUGAAAAGGUGUCAAACGACUGAUUACCUACCUUUAAGUGAGAAGCUCCGUUUGGGGAAGUAAAUUAAAUGUACUCAUUCAGUCCCUGAGGCAAACUUUAACUGUAGUUUCACAUCUGCAGAAAAACGGACUCAUUCUGACUUCAGAUCAGGAAACAGACUCAAACAGCACGUAGUCGGUCAGAGGCUGAAAAUUAACUUCCAGUCAGAGACAUCUGGAAAAAAAGACGAGGCUCAACAUAAUUAUUCUGCUUUAUGUAGUUGGAUUUAAACAACACAUUUAAGAAACCAAGUUUUAUUAUUCCAAAGGGGCACUUUAUACAAUAUCAAGGUAGGAAUUAAAUAUGGAAUCAAAUUGAUGAAACAAAGCAGGCAGUGUACGAGACCAUUGCAGCUUGCAUAAGAACACUUCAGCCUCGUCUCCGUUGGCAGCAGAGCUCAGCUGAGGUUCGUCUGACCUCCAGAACGACCACUACGAUGCUGAAGUCUGGCCAGUGGAGACGAGGCGUUUGACAAAACCCACAUGAAAUCCUGAGGAGAGUCAGAUUUCAUGUGCAAAUAUAUUAUCACAACUCGCAGCUCGAAAAAUAGAACAAUCUUUCUUAUUACAAUGAUAAGGGACAUUAUAAAGAAAUCUUUCUCCAAAAUAGAACCCAGUAGAUGCUGACAUGUGGUAACGCUAUAUACAUCUUCCUUCUGCUUCAAAUAAAAUACAUCUUCGCCAAAGCAACGUUAAAUAUAUUAUUGUUUGAAGUAUUUUACAGGCAGGAAAGUACCUUUUUAUGUUCCCAGAUAAACUGAGCGAUAGGUAGAGUGCAUCAGAGAGAGGAAAGUGAACUCAAACAGAAGCGAUUAAGAGUUUUUAGAGCCGAUUGUUUAGUUUGAGUGAUGGAUUUGUUGAUCUACCUCCCUCUUACAGCUGCUGUGGAGUAAAUAUGCAAAGAUUAACUUGAUACAAAUGAAAGUUUUGGCAUGGCUUUGAUAAAACUCUUUAAAAAAUGUUAGGAAUAAUUAUAUUCUGUUUACAAUCAGUUACACACAUGGGUGACAAAUGAACGCUCGCUGACAUGACUGGUCUAUUAUUUUCUGUAUCUAUAGAUCUAUCAUCGCAAUUAAAGGAAAGUUCGUAGCAAAUAAUUUAAGUCAACAAAACACGUCUUAAAACACACAUGCAGAAAAGGCAUUUUGUUGUGGAAAUAUUGCUUCUAUUAUCCUAAGAUGUAAACAUUAGAGCAUCAUGUGACUGUAUUUAAAUAAUACAGUCCAUCAGUGCAAACAUUCUCCAGACCAAAAGUAACAAAAGAUUAAAUGUUAUUUCUCAGUUGUAAUACAAGUACCACA